rnacentral:rRNA from 1 species
GACGAACGCUGGCGGCGUGCUUAACACAUGCAAGUCGAACGGAAAGGCCCUGCUUUUGUGGGGUGCUCGAGUGGCGAACGGGUGAGUAACACGUGAGUAACCUGCCCUUGACUUUGGGAUAACUUCAGGAAACUGGGGCUAAUACCGGACAGGAGCUCCUGCUGCAUGGUGGGGGUUGGAAAGUUUCGGCGGUUGGGGAUGGACGCGCGGCUUACCAGCUAGUUGGUUGGGUAGUGGCUUACCAAGGCUUUGGCGGGUAGCCGGCCUGAGAGGGUGACCGGCCACAUUGGGACUGAGAUACGGCCCAGACUCCUAUGGGAGGCAGCAGUGGGGAGUAUUGCACAAUGGGCGGAAGCCUGAUGCGGCGGCGCCGCGUGCGGGAUGACGGCCUUCGGGUUGUGAACCGCUUUCGCCUGUGACGAAGCGUGAGUGACGGUAAUGGGUAAAGAAGCACCGGCUAACUACGUG